rnacentral:rRNA from 1 species
UACGGAGGGUGCAAGCGUUAAUCGGAAUUACUGGGCGUAAAGCGCACGCAGGUGGCUGAGAAAGUCGAUUGUGAAAGCCCUGGGCUUAACCUGGGAAUUGCAGUCGAAACUACUCGGCUAGAGGAUGGGAGAGGUAAGCGGAAUUCCUGGUGUAGCGGUGAAAUGCGUAGAUAUCAGGAGGAACACCUGUGGUGUAGACAGCUUACUGGACCAUUUCUGACGCUGAGACACGAAAGCGUGGGUAGCAAACAGG